AACGGCAUUGAGGCCCAUUCUGAUAUUAAUCGGGCGAAAACCGGCUCCGCUAGACUAUACAACCGAGUCGAAGUCCGACCUUCGGGUUCUAUUGCCGGGUUCUCGAUCGUUCUGAAUCGGCCGGUUUCGUUCUCUUCCGCAGGUCCGAUUUGUAGUUCUCCUGUAAACUAGCCCGGAAAAGCCAUCGGACCUCAAUCUGACGUCGUUUUGGAGGAACUAGUGAUCCGAAGACAAAGUGCACUUGGCCUGAAGAAGCUCUAAGAUUGUUCGGUGUAAAUUUCCAGAUAGUGGCCUGUUGGCACAAUGCAAGAAGCUAGGGAGGAUGAGGUUGCUUGCAAUGAACAUUCCAUUAAAGAGAAGGAGCAUACACUUCAUCAGCUUGAGGAGGAGUUGAAUAAUCUAGAAAAUUUGGUAAAGCUAUUGAAUGCCAAUCUAGAUGAACAGAAUGAAAGAAAAGUCGAGGUUCUGAAUGAAAUGCAAGAGCUACAAGAGAGAAUCAGUAAGGAGGGUGCUAAUUCAAGUGUGCAGAGGUUGUUAUCGCUUUUGAAAUUAUUGAAGUCUCAGGAAAGGCAAGAAUCUGAUAUCCAGUCCUGUCACGAAGCAAAACAUUCCAAAUUGAAAGCUGAGGUUGUUGAUUUGGAGGAAAAAGUUGCAAGUGGAAAUGGUAGUGAAAGUAUCUCUAAUGGGUUUGAUAAGUUUUUACACAACUGCCUGGAGGAACUGAAUGCAGCAAAGAGGGAACUUGCGGGUAGACUAAGGGCAAUACUAUUGCUAAAGCGGCAGCUCGAUGAUGUACCAUCACAAACGGAACUCAUCCAGUAUGAACGGCGGUUUUCAGAACUCUAUGUUCAUAUCCAGGAAAAGCUUCAACAAACUCGUAAAUUCUAUGCUACUUAUAAUGCUCUUGUAGAGAUAAAAGAAUUGAUGUUAAAGGAAACAUCCUUAUUAAACUCAAUAAAUUCACAGUUUCAAGAUGCUAUUACUAGCACUGCUGGUCGCCUGAAGCUUAUUAAUUCCAUGGAAGGAAUUGUUAAGGGAGCUCAACAGAAACUGGAAAAGGUGCAACUUGGGCUUCAAGCAGAGCAGAAGGUAUGUGAUGCUCUCAAGGAGAGGCAUUCUGCAGCAAUUGCAGAGCAAAGGCGCUGCUAUUCUCUUUUGAAAGCUUUCCAGGAGGAAUGCACAAAGAACGAGAGACUUCAGAGGCAAACUUCCAUGUAGAAACACACUCCCUCGAAUGUGAAGUUGUGUUGAAGCGCCAUUGACAUUCACAGGUUAGUCAAGGGAUGAUGAUGACUUGGAUGAUACGACAAAGUUGGAAAAAAAAGUUGAAAUUCCCCGUGCCACCAAACCUCUUAUACUUUUCCUGGUUCGUGGGCUAAGAUUAAGAUAAAAUAUCUUCUCUAAUUUUUGUUUUAUUGUAAUUUUUUUUUGUCAACGGAUUUGAUUUCAGCUAUGUUUAAUUAUCGAAAAAUUUAUAAAAUGUCUAUUUUGUUUUAUUAUGGAUGGAAAAGUUGAUGGCAUUUAAUUUUACUUUUUUUCUUUUCAUGAUUUUAAAGUUUCCCGAUAAUCAAACAUAGUAUUCAAUCAAUUCAUGUCCUUAGCAAGCAAUGUUCAUACUUAUCAAUGGGGGGUAACGUGGUUGAUGAAGGACGAUGCACAUGUAAUGUAGCUCUUUUACAAAGACAGGAUUUGGUGGGUUUGGGUGUUUGGGAGGAAAGAAUCUUGGUCACGGCACAUGGACAAAGUUUCAUCCCUAUAAUUAUCAGAAAAUAUGAUAAAAAAAGAUGGGUUUUUGGAUAACAAACAUCCAAAAAGGGAAGAAAACACCUCCAUUUAUCACAUGUUCUGCAUCAAAUCUGUGAGAAUCAACAACAUGAUUCAGCAGAGGAAGUAGAAGUAAGAAAUAUCUUUGUUUUUUUUGGGGGAAACUUUUUCCUAUAGUGAAAAUAUGAUGGUCCUUUAUUCUGAGGGAGAUGUCGAAGACUGAAAUGUAGGACGAAAUGCAUUGGCGGUGAUGUGAGGAGGGGUUGCGUUUGGACUUAUUGUGAGGUAAUUGCAGGCAAGUACGCAACCAUGGAUUCCAUCCAUGUGAAAUAAGCUGACAAUUUUUCAGAAAGAAAGAUGGAUGAUUGGAGAAUCCCUGGGGACCCCCCAUCUUUCAUAUGUUUCGUCCAUUACUGCUGUUUUCUAAAUCUAAACCACUGUUUUGAUCAGGUUCUGAGCUAGAUAUCCUUCCUCCAUUUCCCCUUCCUUUAACCCCCCUCUUUUCUUUUCUUUAACUCGAGUCCCACAGUAGCAUCUCCAAGGAAGAAAAGAAAAAUAUUAAUUUCAUGUGAUUUUAUUGAUUUUUUUUUUUUUUCAAAUCUCCACCUCCACCCCCUCCUUUUACAUCAUCAUCAUCUUCUUCUUCUUCUUCCUCUACUCAUAAUCUUAACAAAGAGAGUGCCUUCUCCUUGUGCUUUUCCUUUAAAUCAACGUACUCCUUAACAGACACUGAUCUAUAACGAGGAGCCACUACUUGCUGGCCGGAACUCACAAGAUUACAGAGAGGUGAAAUCAGGGAAUCAGCUGGAGGGCCAUAGAAGUAUGCGAGGGAUAUCCGAUGCUCCGCCUGGUUCACCACUGCGCGGUGAAGAACACUGGGGUACCGACCAUUAGAGAGAAUAUGGAGGAGAUCUCCAACAUUGACUACAAGUGCACCUUCAAGAGGAAACACUGUUAUCCACCCAACUCCAUCUCUCAAGAUUUGGAGGCCGCUUGUGUGGCUUUGGUGGACGAUAGUGAAUAGCAAUGAGUCUGUAUGUGGGGCUAGCCCCAUGGCUCGGUUAGGGUCCGGGCAUGGAGGAUAUGAAUUCAGCUGCAGUGCAGUAUUGCAGGCCUCGCGGCCACGCUGAAUUGUAGUCGACCGGUACUCUUCCUUGGAGAUGUCCAAUGAUUCUAGAAAUAUAUGUAAGAGACUCUCUGCAAGUUCCUUCAUCUUCUUCUGAUAAUCUUCCAUGACAUCGCUGUUGGAAAAACAAGAAUGAAACUAUAAUUAAUUGAA